rnacentral:piRNA from 1 species
UGGUAAUUACAUCCAAAUAUGUGCAACACA